rnacentral:lncRNA from 1 species
CCAAAUCCAUUACUUCUUUGCCCUCAGGAAACCUAGACGUCCCUCACAAUCAAUCGGAAGAGUGAAUAUCAAGCACACAAAACGUCCAAUUUCAUUCAUGACUGAAAGAGCCUGCAUAACCCCCAUUAAAUAGUCCUCUCAAAUCCCCCCUGCAGGUCCAGGUUUCCGCGACAGUGACUACGCGCAGGUUCCCCACCUCACUAAGCCUCUUUAUUGAAGUUAAAAAAUUUCAAAGAUCCCAAUCAAAGAAAAUCAACAACCCCUUCAAAGAUCCCAAUCAGAUUAUUGAUGUAUGUUGUUUGAGUAAUUUUAGUGAUUUUUUGCAAGUUCUUCGUAUUCUGUUUAUAAUCAAUAGGCAUCUGGGUGUGUCAAGAAUUCCUUGCAUCAGUGGUUGUUGUAUCAAAGAUUCUACCUUCUCACCAACACAAACAACGAUAAUUCCUUUAAGCUUUCAUCAAUGGCGCUUCAACAUCUGCUGAUGUCAUAUAAACAAGAAAGAGGUUGAGCUAGAUAGAUACUGAUUCCUAAUGGCAGCAGUUUUACCCAACGGUCGUGUACAUGCCUGGACCAAGUUUUUGGAUGUGCGGAAUUCAUUUGCUCAAUUUUAAGUCGAAACAUUGAUAACCAAGGUGUUCCAGGGAGUCCGGCCGGUGGGAGUCAUGAAAGCGGUUGUGAACACUCGAAUUCCAACAUCCGAGAGCAGGAUAGGAGCUAACAUAAGCCAUCAGUUUGUGAGUUCAUCAGUUUCGUCACAAGCGAGUACAUAUGUCUGUUUCAUCACCAGCGAGUAUGUGCAUAUGGAUAGAUAUAAUAACAUAAAAAAGACGGGUGGGUUUUUUAUCGCCUAUUCAUCAGUAUUAAAUUAUACUCUUUACAUUAUUAUUAUGCAAUCUAAUAUCCACAAACUGUCAAAGAGGUAAUAUAUUUAUGGAUUCUGAGAUUCUUUUUCACAAAUGUCUAAAAUGGUUCUAAUGUAUGUUUUGUUUUCCUUGGUAAAUAGGCUUUGACUUAUUCAGUUGACUUAAACAUCUAACAUGGCUUGAAGUACUUAACUUUUGUCUGCUGGUUUUGGAUUCGUGUUGAAAAGAGUAAAGCCAAACACCGUGCUUGCCUGAAAAUGAUGAGGUGUUGGUUAUCAAAAGUUGGGCAUAAAAAUGGAAGGUCGAGGCACUAAAAAAGCCGGGGUAGUCAUCUACCUUUAAAAGCCUUCCUGGUACAUGCAUGGAAUCUUAACGAGCAUGAAGUUCUUCGCAGCUGCUCCUUUGCUCAUACCGUAGUCAUGGUUAAUAUCUUGCCAAAAAUCUUGUAUAAAUUGCAUUUGUACUCCGGUUCAUAAAAUGAUUUGAUUGGCUGCAAAUGGUCUCAACAACGAAUUAUAAAAAGUUGAAAACAUAUGGAUUAUGGAUUAGUCCGAAUGCAUUUGGGUGUUUGACCCAUGUGACACGUUUCUUUUUUUCUUUUGGGGUUUGUGGUCAAAAGUUACAAAUUAUUUUAGUUGAUUUGUGUUAGCUCUC